rnacentral:rRNA from 1 species
UAGUGAGUUUGAUCCUGGCUCAGGGUGAACGCUAGCGGCAGGCCUAAUACAUGCAAGUCGAACGGUGUCUUCGGACAUAGUGGCGCACGGGUGCGUAACACGUAUGCAACCUACCUUACAUUGGGGGGUAGCCUUUCGAAAGGGAGAUUAAUACCGCAUAAGACAGUAGCUGGGCAUCCAGCAGCUGUUAAAGAUUUAUCGAUGUAAGCUGGGCAUGCGUCCAAUUAGCUAGUUGGUGAGGUAACGGCUCACCAAGGCUAUGAUU